rnacentral:rRNA from 1 species
AUGAACGCUGGCGGCGUGCCUAAUACCUGCAAGUCGAGCGAACGGACGAGAAGCUUGCUUUUCUGAUGUUAGCGGCGGACGGGUGAGUAACACGUGGAUAACCUACCUAUAAGACUGGGAUAACUUCGGGAAACCGGAGCUAAUACCGGAUAAUAUUUUGAACCGCAUGGUUCAAAAGUGAAAGACGGUCUUGCUGUCACUUAUAGAUGGAUCCGCGCUGCAUUAGCUAGUUGGUAAGGUAACGGCUUACCAAGGCAACGAUGCAUAGCCGACCUGAGAGGGUGAUCGGCCACACUAGAACUGAGACACGGUCCAGACUCCUACGGGAGGCAGCAGUAGGGAAUCUUCCGCAAUGGGCGAAAGCCUGACGGAGCAACGCCGCGUGAGUGAUGAAGGUCUUCGGAUCGUAAAACUCUGUUAUUAGGGAAGAACAUAUGUGUAAGUAACUGUGCACAUCUUGACGGUACCUAAUCAGAAAGCCACGGCUAACUACGUG